rnacentral:rRNA from 1 species
CUCUUUAUGGGGGGUGACUGCGUACCUUUUGUAUAAUGGGUCAGCGACUUAUAUUCUGUAGCAAGGUUAACCGCAUAGGGGAGCCGAAGGGAAACCGAGUCUUAAUUGGGCGUUAAGUUGCAGGGUAUAGACCCGAAACCCGGUGAUCUAGCCAUGGGCAGGUUGAAGGUUGGGUAACACUAACUGGAGGACCGAACCGACUAAUGUUGAAAAAUUAGCGGAUGACCUGUGGCUGGGGGUGAAAGGCCAAUCAAACCGGGAGAUAGCUGGUUCUCCCCGAAAGCUAUUUAGGUAGCGCCUCGUGAACUCAUCUCCGGGGGUAGAGCACUGUUUCGGCUAGGGGGCCAUCCCGGCUUACCAACCCGAUGCAAACUGCGAAUACCGGAGAAUGUUAUCACGGGAGACACACGGCGGGUGCUAACGUCCGUCGUGAAGAGGGAAACAACCCAGACCGCCAGCUAAGGUCCCAAAGUCAUGGUUAAGUGGGAAACGAUGUGGGAAGGCCCAGACAGCCAGGAUGUUGGCUUAGAAGCAGCCAUCAUUUAAAGAAAGCGUAAUAGCUCACUGGUCGAGUCGGCCUGCGCGGAAGAUGUAACGGGGCUAAACCAUGCACCGAAGCUGCGGCAGCGACACUUUAGUGUUGUUGGGUAGGGGAGCGUUCUGUAAGCCGUUGAAGGUGUCCUGUGAGGGGUGCUGGAGGUAUCAGAAGUGCGAAUGCUGACAUAAGUAACGAUAAAGCGGGUGAAAAGCCCGCUCGCCGGAAGACCAAGGGUUCCUGUCCAACGUUAAUCGGGGCAGGGUGAGUCGACCCCUAAGGCGAGGCCGAAAGGCGUAGUCGAUGGGAAACGGGUUAAUAUUCCCGUACUUGGUGUUACUGCGAAGGGGGGACGGAGAAGGCUAUGUUGGCCGGGCGACGGUUGUCCCGGUUUAAGCGUGUAGGUGUGUGUUCCAGGUAAAUCCGGUUCACUUUAAC